UACGUAGGGGGCUAGCGUUGUCCGGAAUCAUUGGGCGUAAAGCGCGCGUAGGCGGCCCGGUAAGUCCGCUGUAAAAGUCCAGGGCUCAACCCUGGAAAGCCGGUGGAUACUGUCGGGCUCGAGUCCGGAAGAGGCGAGUGGAAUUCCUGGUGUAGCGGUGGAAUGCGCAGAUAUCAGGAGGACCACCAAUAGCGAAAGCAGCUCUCUGGGACGGUACUGACGCUGAGACGCGAAAGCGUGGGGAGCGAACAGG
rnacentral:rRNA from 1 species